ACAACCAUCCACACGACCAUGAAUAACGAUUUAGCAAAUCUUAUAUAAGUCACUCGUGGGUUUCAUCCCUAUCCACAAAACUCUUUGAUUGUGAAAUGCUGUGAUAGAUGCAGGUUGAGGGGGGGAAGAAAGAGUUGGAAAUAAUCAUCAUUUUCAAUUUUGAAGACUCCAUGGCGCCCCUUGUGUUGUGCUACAUGUGCUUUCAAACGCUGAUCCAAUUGGCAUGUGAUCGCCUCAACCUUGUUCUUUCGGGGCCAUCUUGAAAAGCUACAUGGAUCAAUAAAGUUAUGCAAAUACAAGCAUAGACAGGCAUGUUGCUGUCCCAAAAAAAGUAGAGUUCUGAAAGCAAUCGAAUUUGGUCAUAUAAUAAUGUCCAAAGGCCCGUGGACAAGUCAGAAAGGUGUAGGCAGAUUCCAACAUGGUCCUAUAAGGCUGCCAAGGAAAAACAAAAUGAGAAGAAGGGGGUCAAUUCUUUGUCAGAUUGGUUUGACAAUGCACGCGUUUCACAAACCAAGCCUCAUGUCUGAAUCAAUUGGCUUACAAAGUUGUGUUCCAGAAAGCAAGAAAAACGUGGGUUUGGAAUUGGAUAUAUUUUCUGUUUUUUUUCUUACUAAAUAAGCGGAGGAAGAGGGGGGAGAUAUCGAAAUCAAAACUUUAGGUGCAAAAAUUAAUAUUGUUAACUACGUGAGUUACACCAAUUAAUGAGGUGUUAGUUGGAUUGACCUAGAUCUUUAAUGUGCUUUCGAAUGGUCUUGGAUUCAAGUCCUCAUAGUAUUCGUGGGUGUGAGUUUUCUUCCUCCCAUACGAGUUACAGGCCGUCGCCUAUGAUAGUUUAGGUUCAAGUCUGUUGUUUUGUUAUAUAAUUUAGUUAAGAGAUGUAAAUUUUUGGGUAAAUAAAAUGGAAAGUGCAGGAUAGUAUGUUGUUGAA